rnacentral:sRNA from 1 species
CUGGUUUCUUAAUUCAGCAAAGACGAGAGAGCCAGGGGCCGGCUGGUGAAACUGACUGCAGGUUAGUAAAAAAAAGAGGACCCAUAAAUGAUUCAAAGAAACCAGGCCUAUUUAGGGUCCCUUCUUGGAUAAUCAGUACGACCAGAGCUGUAAAUAACAACAACCAUCAUAGUGCUAGAAAUGGCAAGCUUCAUUAGACUGAAUUUUUAGCCAUGUCCUUGUACCAAAGAACAAGAGUUUGCACUGGCUGUUUAUAAAAUUGAUUCCACUGGCCUGCAGUUAUUAGGGUGAGAGUUCCCUUUCCCCCAGUAGUGGUUAUGUGUCCACACUACAUUCCUGUAUAAACCUUUGUGAUUGGAGCACAACUGUGAAGCUAGUUAGCCAGGAUUAGGAGUCUGGUUUAUAUUCCUAUAGGUAGAGUUCACUAAUCUUUAUCCUGGUCUUACUCUUAAUGGUCUAAUAGCCAGACCACAUGUCCUAGUGCAGCCCCCUUGCCCUCUGUCCUCACCGUCAGCCUUGUGCUCACAGCCUUCCUUGAUAACUUUGCCUUUCAGAUUGUGGAGAAGCAGCAGCAGAAGAUGGAUCAGUUGCGCUCACAAGUACAGAGCCUAGAGCAGGAAGUGGCUCAAGAAGAAGGAACAAGCCAGGCCCUGAGAGAGGAGGCCCAGCGAAGGGAUUCAGCCCUGCAGCAGCUGCGCACAGCCGUGAAGGAGCUUUCAGUGCAAAACCAGGACUUGAUUGAGAAGAAUCUGACACUCCAGGAACACCUGCGCCAGGCCCAACCAGGGUCUCCACCUUCACCAGACACGGCCCAGCUGGCACUUGAGCUGCACCAGGAGUUGGCCAGUUGCCUUCAAGAUCUGCAGGCUGUCUGUAGCAUUGUGACCCAGAGGGCCCAGGGCCAUGACCCCAAUCUCUCCCUGCUCCUGGGCAUUCACU